rnacentral:lncRNA from 1 species
AUCCGGUUGGAAACGUCAACUACACUUAAAUGUAUGAAUGUCUCACUUUCUUGAAUCUAUGGAACAUGUAACCAUUCCAAUAGAUUAUAAAACAUUUGAUACUUUUAAUAAUAUCAGAUAUUUAUAAUUUCAGAUGAAUAACUUUAUAUAAUGGAAAUGAAAUCCAAAGAUAGAGAACUGAAAAGAAAAAAAAAAAAAAAAAAGAGAGAAAGAAGAGUUAUGUUCUACCAACUAUAUAAUAAAUGGAGCAUGAAGAAUCAUUAAAUAGACUAUGUUUGGUGUCCACAUAACAUAAAAAAAAAAUCCAAUACAAGCUACUAGAG